AGAGGUUGAAAAGCAAUACCAGAAGGGCCUUGAUUCGAUGGAAUGAUAGCCUCAACAGUCAUGCGAGAACCUGGAAGUCUAACUGCAGUGACAGUGCCAUGGGGUUAAUUUUAAGUUACAGCAACUUUUUAUAACUGUUCACAGAGUAGCUAUUUGGCUACAAUGAAUAUUUUUGGUUAGUAGGUUAUUCCUAAAGUAAUAUGUUUCUGCUGACAGUUAAAUACUAAUAAUAUUCCCACAUAUCUCUAGAUAUUUUGUUA